CACUCUUCUCCCACCUUUGUCUGAACUAUCUGCCUGCCAUGAAUUAUCUGUCUGCCCUGAACUGACUCUCUGUCCUGAAACGACCACGGAGAUCGUUCCCCUGUCAUUGGCGCUCCCGGUGUUGGGAGUGGCCUUGUGGUGUGUGUGGGCAGCACACACCGUCCCUAAUUCCCCUGAGUAUCUUGAACUCCUGCCCAGCCUCCCUCUCCCACCACCUCUGUACCAGUCCCCACCAUCUUCACCGCUGCCUCCUGGCAGCCCCUCUGCUCACCCUCAGCCCAGCAUCUGUGUGGUGGGAUUGCAGCAAGUCUGCCAGUCUCCAUCGGCGUCAUGGUUGGAGGAUCCCUUGUCUCCGCCUCCGGCCUCCAAGUCCUGGACUCCGCCUCGGCCCUUCGAUCCAGCAGCUCCACCAUGGCUCCUAGCUCCCUCUUCUCCACUGUGGCCCGUCAGUCCACCAGCUCUGCUGGGCUCCCUCGUCCCUCCGGCUCCGUCUUGGUCUGUCGUUGACCAUUCGCCGCCGAGGGACUCUACUUCUCUGACUACACCUUGGCCUCCUUGUCGCCCUGGCUCUUCGGGUCGCCGCCUCGGGCUCCACCACCACCUGCUCCGCCGAUGUCGGUCGGCCCCCUGGAGUCGUCAGCCCUUCCUCCACCAUGGCUCCUCCCUCCGUCGGCUCCACCUUGGGCCGCCAUCAUGGCUGUGGCCUGGGUCCCUCCUGGCUCCUCCUGCUCCCACCUGUCUUCUCCCAGACUCCUCCCUCUGUGUAAUCCACCCUGGUUCCUCCUGUUUUCUCCAUGGCUUCUCCCUGCGUCAUCUCCACCCUGGACUCUGUUCGUCGUCCUCCUCCGGGGACUCCGUCCCCUGCCCGAACCUCCUCCUGUACUGACUGCCUGCCUUCCUGCCAUCCCCUGUCACCAUUCCACAUCCCACACACACACACGAAGUACAGUAUUGAAACAUAAAUACCCUUGAAUUUUUUUAAUUAAAAUUAAUUAUGUUCUUGUGAGGCA
rnacentral:lncRNA from 1 species